GACGAACGCUGGCGGCGUGCCUAAUACAUGCAAGUAGAACGCACAGUUUAUACCGUAGCUUGCUACACCAUAGACUGUGAGUUGCGAACGGGUGAGUAACGCGUAGGUAACCUGCCUGGUAGCGGGGGAUAACUAUUGGAAACGAUAGCUAAUACCGCAUAAUAUUAAUUAUUGCAUGAUAAUUAAUUGAAAGGUGCAAUUGCACCACUACCAGAUGGACCUGCGUUGUAUUAGCUAGUAGGAGAGGUAACGGCUCACCUAGGCGACGAUACAUAGCCGACCUGAGAGGGUGGUCGGCCACACUGGGACUGGGACACGGCCCAGACUCCUACGGGAGGCAGCAGUAGGGAAUCUUCGGCAAUGGACGAAAGUCUGACCGAGCAACGCCGCGGGAGUGAAGAAGGUUUUCGGAUCGUAAAGCUCUGUUGUAAGAGAAGAACGGGUGUGGGAGUGGAAAGUUCACACUGUGACGGUAUCUUACCAGAAAGGGACGGCUAACUACGUG
rnacentral:rRNA from 1 species